GUUGAUUCGAUCAGCUGGGACGAGUGAUAGACUGAUAGUGAUUAGCAACGUUAGUGGUUUUGUCGAAAUAUAUUCACGUUUAACUCUCAGCUGAAAACUUCAUGAAACCCAGGAGAUAUACACAAUUUAUAGGGCCUCUAACCAUAGUGGCAAUUAUAAUUAUUGCGGUAAUAGAUGAAGCCUUAAUCACAAUCAACCUUAAUCAAAUAAAUAUAGUUUUGAGCUGAGCUAACAAGAAGACAAAAAACAUGGUGUGCAAUGCUCGAGCCAAAAUCAGACGUCAUGACUGUAGCAGGAAAUUAUGAAGAAUGUUCUGAAAAACAUGCUUGUAAGUAAAGCAACGCUAAAAAAUCUUCAGCUAACAUUUUUUCCAAAAUGUUUCCAUUUAAAGCUGAAUAAUUAAUGAUGGUUUGGCGCUUUUGAAUGUUGAAUAUCACAAUUACUCCACUUUUAAUUAUAUAUGUUUCCAUAUUUUUGCAUACUCAUUAUAUGAUAAUAAUUGUUGUUUUCAUGCUCCUGAGUGCCAAUGCUGGAGGAACUGGCUUGCAUUUUAAAUGGAGCUUACGAAGUGAUUCUCUUUGAUUUGAGCUGAAAGACAGUCGGUGAUGCCCCUCAUCUGAAGAAGUCGAUAGAGAAGGCUAGUCAUUACUCACAGACUUCUCACCUCUGGCAGCAUUGGAGAUAAUACUUUUCAAGGGCAUUGGAUUUAGAAAACUGCCUCUGAUCCAUCUAAGAACUCAAGAUCUUCACAGAAGCAAAAUAUCGAGCCCUGAGGAAUUCACUCGACUUGAACUGGGAUUGCGCAAUUGUGAUAUUAGAAAUGUUGCUUGCAACUGAAAGAGACGUUGGUCAGAAAGACAAGCUUGGGUUUCAUUCUCCUCGCCUUGUGGAAGCACAUUAUCAUUAAAAAUUUGAACCGCAAAUUGUUAACUGUGGGUGAAAAUACAUCAAAAGCCUUUUUUGUAAUGGCGUUGGAAUUUUUCCUUUCCUGGAUCUUAACACACCACAUUUGCUUCUGGAGACGAGGAUUUAUUUCUAGAAUUAAACUCCUGUGCAAGGGUUAGAAACAAGAUAAAAAUAGUUUAAUUUUUGCUGUGGUUUAUUCACACAAUUUUAAUCAGCCAUGUAUUACUACAAACUUAACUUUUUAAAUUUCACCCUUGGCAAAUGUGACAUUAAUCUUGGAUGAAAGUUAACAACGGUAUUUUUCGCGCUGUUGGGUGCUUUGCUAUUCCAAACAAACAUAUGACGCAUUUUGACUAGGCGGAAACUAGCGUUAGCGUCAGCUGCCAUAACUAAGUAGGCCACGCAUCCAUAUUCUGGCAGUAUGGCUUUCCAGGGCAAAUUUUGCAAACUGCGGAAUGUACAGCGAUGCUAGUCGUUUUGUUAAUAUUUUUUACGUUUUGGGCAGAAAACACUGACUGUGCAAGCAUCUUUGAAGCUUUAAAAACUAUUUUAUUCAGGAAUGACUCAACUGAGUUGGAUGACGAUGCAAUGUCGAGAAUUCAGCAGAUCGGCGGACUGCCUCAAACAAGUGGUAAUAAAACAGAUGAGGAGGAGGAAAAGCAAUGGUUGUCAAACAAAGGGCAGUUCGUGAUGCGAAUGCCUCCGUGGACAAAGAGUAACAGCAGCGCGCCAGUCUUUAAUCGAUCUAUGGACUGGCAGGUUGCGUCCAGCGACUUUGGCGGACUAGACUACGAUUUAGAGGAGAGUUUUGAGCGAAUGGUAACUCCACCAACCUCGCCUGACCCUUGGGCAACAGGCACUCUCAGGAGUCCACGCACAGGGGAAGAUGACGAUUUAGAUCUUGCGCCUACAAAUCCAAUGCAGCCGGAACCUCCUCAAAUCACUGCUGCUGUGGACACUUUCUUCAUCGCAAUAACGGCCAAGCCAUUAUUUACUCGAAAAAUUUAUAAAACCACAACAAAGUUGCCACCGACAAAAAAUUAUAUAAAAUUUACGAAGAGUGCAUCAGGUCAUAUAUGGGGCCGCGUAACAAGGCGAGGAACGCAGACAACUAAAGAGACCACAACCUACUUUGCGAGCUGGAACAAAAACGAUGGCACCGCUUUUCCAGAUGAGACACACAAUUGGAGUUCUACCAACACUAAUUUAGACGUUGUUGAUGAAGAAGAAGCAACCACGGCUACGAGAGUGCAUUGGAGGCGAAAAAUCUACACACGCCAAUUCAGAGUUUUUCACAAAGCAACAACUUCCACUGAAGUUAAUGUUUACGGCGCCGAGAUUGUGCCUGUGAAUUAAAUUUUUAUAUGUUUAUUAGAUGAUUCUAUACUUGCUGCGUUGUUUGAUAAUAAAAAAUUGUGUUUCUAUAUUUUUAACUAUAAA